UUCACUUAAUUCUAACAACAGGAACGAGGGUACUGUGGGCUUCAUUUCAGAGAAGAGGAAACUGGGAUUUGGAGCUGAAGUAACUUGACCAAGAGCAGAUGGCAGGCACCCCUGAGCAUGAAAUAUAAAUUUCCCCCUGAGGAUUUAUGCCUUAUGUUUCUAGAGGGACAUAGAGAAGACAGAUAACUUAAAUACUUGGGUUCUGGAUUGGGGUUAUGUCAAACAUGCCACCGAAGAUUCUUGCACACGUUAUGCUGGUGUACAUAUAUGGAAGUGUCUUAAAUUUUGCUGCUGCUGUCUCUUUGGAUUUGGGCCAUUUUUAAGAGGUGUAACACUCACUGUGAAGUUCUGUAGCUCCAUUCUUCAAGUUAGCGAGACCACGAACCUGCCGGAAGGAACCAACUCCGGACAUAGCAGAUCAAGAAGGCAGUCAGAAGUGGGAGGUACAUUUAUGCCAAUAAGAAGAUGAGUUGUGAUUUGGAAAACCGUGGGGCAGGAGAGGGCAUGCAGCAUCGUCAGUCAUUCCUGCCAGUCAGCACCCUGAUUGAUGACCUACAAAGCCGCAGCAGCCAGGAGAACACAGGAGCACGCUAGAACGUCCAAUCCAAAGGAAAAACAACCUAUACUGUAAAGUGAUCGUGCUCAUCUCAGUGUGUGACAAGGAAGACGAUGGCACCUGGUUCCAGGAGCCGAACGUUUCCACAUCCCUGUGAGGUAGCUGUCUUCUGCACAUUCUUUCUGGGGCAUCAGCAUCCCACUGUCCUCAGAGGCUUUGAAGUUAGUCUGGUACAGAGGACGUCACAUGUACAGCAACAGG
rnacentral:lncRNA from 1 species